GGCAAUGUGACCGAGUGGUUAAGGUGUCUGACUCGAAAUCAGAUGGACUUUGUCCGCACAGGUUCAAAUCCUGUCAUUGUCG